GUCGAGCGAGAAGCUACCUUCGGGUAGUGGACAGCGGCGCACGGGUGAGUAACGCGUACACAAUCUACCUUAUAGAGGAGAAUAGCCCUGGGAAACUGGGAUUAAUGCUCCAUAGUAUUACACUUUGGCAUCAAGGUGUAAUUAAAGCUCCGGCGCUAUAAGAUGAGUGUGCGUACUAUUAGCUAGUUGGUAAGGUAACGGCUUACCAAGGCUACGAUAGUUAGGGGGCGUGAGAGCGUGACCCCCCACACGGGUACUGAGACACGGACCCGACUCCUACGGGAGGCAGCAGUAAGGAAUAUUGGACAAUGGGCGCAAGCCUGAUCCAGCCAUCCCGCGUGGAGGAUGACUGCCCUAUGGGUUGUAAACUCCUUUUAUUUGAGAAGAAACGCCUGGAUUUAUCCGGGCCUGACGGUAUCUUAUGAAUAAGCACCGGCUAACUCCGUGCCAGCAGCCGCGGUAAUACGGAGGGUGCAAGCGUUAUCCGGAAUCACUGGGUUUAAAGGGUGCGUAGGUGGUUUAGUAAGUCAGAUGUGAAAGCCCGGCGCUCAACGUCGGAAUUGCAUUUGAUACUGCUGAACUUGAAUCAGGUUGAGGUGGGCGGAAUGUGGCAUGUAGCGG
rnacentral:rRNA from 1 species